rnacentral:rRNA from 1 species
AUUGAACGCUGGCGGCAUGCCUUACACAUGCAAGUCGAACGGCAGCGCGGGAGCAAUCCUGGCGGCGAGUGGCGAACGGGUGAGUAAUACAUCGGAACGUGCCCAAUCGUGGGGGAUAACGCAGCGAAAGCUGUGCUAAUACCGCAUACGAUCUACGGAUGAAAGCAGGGGAUCGCAAGACCUUGCGCGAAUGGAGCGUCCGAUGGCAGAUUAGGUAGUUGGUGAGGUAAAGGCUCACCAAGCCUUCGAUCUGUAGCUGGUCUGAGAGGACGACCAGCCACACUGGGACUGAGACACGGCCCAGACUCCUACGGGAGGCAGCAGUGGGGAAUUUUGGACAAUGGGCGAAAGCCUGAUCCAGCAAUGCCGCGUGCAGGAUGAAGGCCUUCGGGUUGUAAACUGCUUUUGUACGGAACGAAACGGUCUUUUCUAAUAAAGAAGGCUAAUGACGGUACCGUAAGAAUAAGCACCGGCUAACUACGUG